UGGGGAAUAUUGGACAAUGGGCGAAAGCCUGAUCCAGCCAUGCCGCGUGAGUGAUGAAGGCCUUAGGGUUGUAAAGCUCUUUUGUCAGGGAAGAUAAUGACGGUACCUGAAGAAUAAGCACCGGCUAACUUCGUGCCAGCAGCCGCGGUGAUACGAAGGGUGCUAGCGUUGUUCGGAAUUACUGGGCGUAAAGAGUUCGUAGGCGGCUGUACAAGUCAGAGGUGAAAUCCCGGAGCUUAACUCCGGAACUGCCUUUGAAACUGUAUAGCUGGAGUGUGUGAGGGGAUAGCGGAAUUCCUAAUGUAGAGGUGAAAUUCGUAGAUAUUAGGAGGAACACCGGUGGCGAAGGCGGCUAUCUGGCACACAACUGACGCUGAGGAACGAAAGCGUGGGGAUCAAA
rnacentral:rRNA from 1 species